rnacentral:rRNA from 1 species
UUCCUACGGGACGCAGCAGUGGGGGAUAUUGCACAAUGGGGGAAACCCUGAUGCAGCGACGCCGCGUGAGUGAAGAAGUAAUUCGUUACGUAAAGCUCUAUCAGCAGGGAAGAAAAUGACGGUACCUGACUAAGAAGCCCCGGCUAACUACGUGCCAGCAGCCGCGGUAAUACGUAGGGGGCAAGCGUUAUCCGGAAUUACUGGGUGUAAAGGGAGCGUAGACGGCGGCGCAAGUCCGGAGUGAAAGCCCACGGCCCAACCGUGGGACUGCUCUGGAACCUGUGCGGCUUGAGUGCGGGAGGGGC